AUGCGAUACUUGGUGUGAAUUGCAGAAUCUCGUGAACCAUUGAGUCUUUGAACGCAAGUUGUGCCCGAGGCCUUCUGGCCGAGGGCACGCCUGCUUGGGAGUCAUGGCAUCGUCGCCUUCGCACCCCCACGUUGAAAAAUGCCGGUGCUGAGCGCGUAAAUUGGCCCCGUGUGCCCCCGGGCACAGUCGGCCGAAGAGUGGGCAGUCGCCAAUCGUCGGGCACGAUGGGUGUUGGUCGCCGUGAGCGGGAACAGAACGUCGUCCCCGUCGUAUUGGGAUGAGUCCCCAAGAGACCCCGUGUGAUCGUGGCGUCAGGUCAAAAAAUGCCGCCGCGUCCAUCAACUUGUGGCCCCAAGUCAGGCGAGACCACCCGCCGAGUUUAAGCAUAUCAAUAAG
rnacentral:rRNA from 1 species